UACGUAGGGUGCGAGCGUUGUCCGGAAUUACUGGGCGUAAAGAGCUCGUAGGUGGUUUGUCGCGUUGUUCGUGAAAUCCCACGGCUUAACUGUGGGCGUGCGGGCGAUACGGGCAGACUGGAGUACUGCAGGGGAGACUGGAAUUCCUGGUGUAGCGGUGGAAUGCGCAGAUAUCAGGAGGAACACCGGUGGCGAAGGCGGGUCUCUGGGCAACAACUGACGCUGAGGAGCGAAAGCGUGGGGAGCGAACAGG
rnacentral:rRNA from 1 species